CAGUAGCCGCGGGAAUACGUAGGUCCCGAGCGUUGUCCGGAUUUAUUGGGCGUAAAGGGAGCGCAGGCGGUUUAGUAAGUCUGAAGUUAAAGGCAUUGGCUCAACCAAUGUAUGCUUUGGAAACUGUUAGACUUGAGUGCAGAAGGGGAGAGUGGAAUUCCAUGUGUAGCGGUGAAAUGCGUAGGUAUAUGGAGGAACACCGGUGGCGAAAGCGGCUCUCUGGUCUGUCACUGACGCUGAGGCUCGAAAGCGUGGGUAGCGAACAGGAUUAGAUACCCCAGUAGUCCCUGUCUCUUAUACA
rnacentral:rRNA from 1 species